UAACAACGUUUCGGAGUUUACUCCAUCAUCAGGUUAUAAAUGUAACCUGAUGAUGGAGUAAACUCCGAAACGUUGUUA
rnacentral:miRNA from 1 species